rnacentral:misc_RNA from 1 species
GUUGCCCUUUGAGCCAAAAGAGCCAAAUUUCAACUACAGUAUCUGCACCUGCUGCGGUUAGAGAGCUAGUAUCACUUGAGGACCUGCAACUGCUUCUAUAUCAUAAACAAUAGGGUGAGUGACUGAAUUAGUAUUACUGAGAACUUGGGUGGGAAUAACAGUUUUACCACUAGGGUGACUGGGUUGAAUUGGUAUUCUUGUCUGGUUGGCCACUUGUUCUUCUCUCUUGUGG